rnacentral:rRNA from 1 species
UACGUAGGGUGCGAGCGUUAAUCGGAAUUACUGGGCGUAAAGCGUGCGUAGACGGUUAUGUAAGUCAGAUGUGAAAGCCCCGGGCUUAACCUGGGAAUGGCAUUUGAGACUGCAUAGCUAGGGUGCGGAAGAGGGAAGCGGAAUUUCCGGUGUAGCGGUGAAAUGCGUAGAUAUCGGAAGGAACACCAGUGGCGAAAGCGGCUUCCUGGUCCAGCACCGACGUUCAGGCACGAAAGCGUGGGGAGCAAACAGGAUUAGAUACC